rnacentral:rRNA from 1 species
AACCUUUACACUGCACGACAGUGCGAUAGGGGGACUCCGAGUGUGAGGGCAUAUAGCCCUCGCUUUUCUGAACCGUAAGGUGGUUCAGGAACAAGGACUGGGCGAGACCGGUGCCAGCCGCCGCGGUAAUACCGGCAGUCCGAGUGAUGGCCGAUAUUAUUGGGCCUAAAGCGUCCGUAGCUUGCUGUGUAAGUCCAUUGGGAAAUCGACCAGCUCAACUGGUCGGCGUCCGGUGGAAACUACACAGCUUGGGGCCGAGAGACUCAACGGGUACGUCCGGGGUAGGAGUGAAAUCCUGUAAUCCUGGACGGACCACCAAUGGGGAAACCACGUUGAGAGACCGGACCCGACAGUGAGGGACGAAAGCCAGGGUCUCGAACCGGAUUAGAUACCCGGGUAGUCCUGGCUGUAAACAAUGCUCGCUAGGUAUGUCACGCGCCAUGAGCACGUGAUGUGCCGUAGUGAAGCCGAUAAGCGAGCCGCCUGGGAAGUACGUCUGCAAGGAUGAAACUUAA